rnacentral:rRNA from 1 species
AUUGAACGCUGGCGGCAGGCUUAACACAUGCAAGUCGAACGAGUGGCGGACGGGUGAGUAAUGCUUGGGAAUCUAGCUUAUGGAGGGGGAUAACUACGGGAAACUGUAGCUAAUACCGCGUACCAUAGGAUGAGCCCAAAUGGGAUUAGGUAGUUGGUGGGGUAAAGGCUCACCAAGCCGACGAUCUCUAGCUGGUCUGAGAGGAUGACCAGCCACACUUGGACUGAGACAAGGCCCAGAAUCCUCCGGGAGGCAGCAGUGGGGAAUAUUGCGCAAUGGGGGCAACCUGACGCAGCCAUGCCGCGUGAAUGAAGAAGGCCUUAGGGUUGUAAAGUUCUUUCGGUGGCGAGGCGUUAACUACAGAAGAAGCACCGGCUAACUCCGUGCCAGCAGCCGCGGUAAUAC